rfam:Aureococcus anophagefferens unplaced genomic scaffold ATRANscaffold_698, whole genome shotgun sequence.
GCCCCCGUAGCUCAGUUGGUUAGAGCGGUGGUCUUAUGAGCCACAGGCCGUGGGUUCGAGCCCCUCCGGGAGCA